CUCUGGGGGCUGCUGCAGGAGGGGUGGGAGGGAACAUAAUAAACCACAGUCCUUCCUCCCUGGUCCUCAAAAUGUCAAAUGCAACUGUUUCUCUUUGCUGUUCUGCACCACAUGCAUGAUACUACUCGGGAAUGUGAGCAGCCAGAGCACAUCAGUCACGUCUGCGUGGCCCGUCUGCCUUGCGGCGAUGCAUCAUGCUGCGGAAGUGUGAAGUCUAUCCACCAAGAGGAGCUCAAAUAUAUACUGCAAGAAGGUAGAAUGUGGAAAAAUACUCCAGCAUCACAGAAUGGCUAAGGUUGGCAGGGACCUCGGGGUCCACCUGAUCCAACCCAUGCUCGAGCAGGGACACCCAGAACAGGAUAUCCAAGAUGGUAAAUUAUUGUAAUACAAUACUUACAUAUUUCAAUAUGUAAAAUAAUAUUUUACCUUACCAAAAAGCACGCCUCUUGUGUAUGAUUUUAUCUCUCUUACAAAUGAUUGCAUGUUAUAUAUUUCCACAUUUAAUCAGGGUAACACCUUCAGGAGGAAUAAAGUGGGCAGAUUUAACCACAAGCUUCACUCAAAAUAAU
ensembl:lncRNA